rnacentral:rRNA from 1 species
UUACCUCAGGUCAGAGAAGACUACCCGCUGGACUUAAGCAUAUCACUAAGCGGAGGAAAAGAAACUAACUAGGAUUCCCCCAGUAACUGCGAGUGAAGAGGGAAGAGCUCAUCAUUGGAAUCUGGCAGUGUUGCACUGUCCGAGUUGUAGAUGAGGAGUAGUCCGUCUGGACUGCAUGGCGUCCAAGUACAAUAGGCCGUCAGUGGGACAUCAUAGAGGGUGACAAUCCCGUCCUUGACGCCAAUGUGCAAGUCUAUUACGAUGGCUAUCUCAGAGAGUCGAGCAGUUUGGGAUUUGCUGCUUAAACAUGGGAGGUAGAUUCCUUCUAAAGCUAAAUACAGGCGAGAGACCGAUAGAGAACAAGUACCGCAAGGGAAAGAUGAAAUAGCACUCUGUGAAGGGAGUCAAAAGGCGUGAAAUUGUUGCGAGAGAAGCGAUUCAAGUCAGCGUAGCUAGGCCCAUCAAGCGUCUUCGCUUUGGACUAGCUUUGCCAGCGGUCUUGUCCCUUGAAGAGACUUGACUUGUAAUAUGUCCAGCCUGGCGUGCACAGGCAGCCCCUUCUGGGGGCCAGUGGCAUGGCUGGUGGAAUGGCUUGCAAUCGACCCGUCUUGAAACACGGACCAAGGAGUCUAACAUGUAUGCGAGUAUAAGGGUGGCAAACCCGUAUGCGCAAUGAAAGUGAUUUUCGGUGAUUGAGAAUGGCCUGAUGACCAGACAAGCAAUAUAUGUCCCUCGUACGGCCAUUGCCCAAGUUCCGUGGUAGAUCCCACGAACAUGGAGUUGGAGCAUACAUGCUAGGACCCGAAAGAUGGUGAACUAUGCCUGGACAAAGCGAAGCCAAAGGAAACUCUGGUGGAGGCUUGUAGCGAUUCUGACGUGCAAAUCGAUCGUCUGAUCUGGGUAUAGGGGCGAAAGACUAAUCGAACCAU